CCCCUCACGCGUCCUCCGUCGGCCAUGGCGGCAUAUAAGCGGACCAAAGACAAGAAAAGGCGGAGACUUCUCUCGCCCGACUCCCUUUGCUUCCCCUCUCCACCUUCCCCCGCUCCCCUCGAUCGAUCUGCGCACGCCAGCCGCCGUCGCCGGAUCCCCUCCAGCAGCGCCCGUCCCCCUUCUCCCCCGAAUCCGCCGGAGCCCAGCGGACGCCGGCCAUGAGCACCUCCGAGUACGACUACCUCUUCAAGCUGCUCCUCAUCGGCGACUCCUCCGUCGGCAAGUCCUGCCUCCUCCUCCGCUUCGCCGACGACGCGUACGUCGACACCUACAUCAGUACCAUCGGCGUUGAUUUCAAAAUCCGGACCGUCGAGCUCGAUGGCAAGUCGGUGAAGCUGCAGAUUUGGGACACAGCAGGCCAGGAAAGGUUCAGGACAAUAACAAGCAGUUACUACCGCGGAGCGCAUGGAAUCAUUAUCGUAUAUGAUGUGACAGAUAGGGAAAGCUUCAACAACGUCAAGCAGUGGUUGAGUGAGAUUGAUAGGUAUGCCAGUGACAGUGUGUGCAAGCUUCUAGUCGGGAACAAAUGUGAUUUGGUUGAUAGUAAGGUCGUCGAUACAGAAGAGGCCAAGGCUUUUGCAGAAUCGUUGGGAAUGAAUUUUCUUGAGACAAGUGCAAAGGAAGCCAUCAAUGUGGAGACAGCUUUCUUAACCAUGUCAUCAGAAAUCAAGAACAAGAUGGCGAGCCAACCAACGGCGGAGAGGAAAUCGACGGUCCAUGUUCACAUGAAAGGGCAGCCCAUACAGCAGCAGAACAGCAGCUGCUGCUCAUAAGCUCAGCAAGGCACCAUUCAUACACCUCAUGACAUCCGGUUGUGAGUUGUUGGAGGCUGGAAAAUUCACCAUCAAAGGCUGGAGAAGGCGGUGAAUUGGAUAUACUGAACACAGAACUUGUAUACAAUAGAACUUGUGUUACUACUUACUACUGUUUAAUAUACCCGUCACAGUUUGAGCUUGUUAUGCAAUCUCACUAGUCAUUACUUCGUCAGUGUUUUAGGCGCAUUUUAUGGAUCUUAGGUGGCAAAAAUUGUAUGAAAAUGUGAGCUUGUCAAUCAUCCUGUUAUCUUUCAGAAAGGAUCAUAUUGUUGCUGAGAAUAUGGUUAAUUCAAGCUUGUCAAUCAUCA
rnacentral:rRNA from 1 species